rnacentral:rRNA from 1 species
AACGAACGCUGGCGGCAGGCUUAACACAUGCAAGUCGAGCGCCCCGCAAGGGGAGCGGCAGACGGGUGAGUAACGCGUGGGAACGUACCUUUUGGUUCGGAACAACUCCGGGAAACUGGAGCUAAUACCGGAUAAGCCCUAACGGGGAAAGAUUUAUCGCCGAAAGAUCGGCCCGCGUCUGAUUAGCUAGUUGGUGAGGUAACGGCUCACCAAGGCGACGAUCAGUAGCUGGUCUGAGAGGAUGAUCAGCCACACUGGGACUGAGACACGGCCCAGACUCCUACGGGACGCAGCAGUGGGGAAUAUUGGACAAUGGGCGCAAGCCUGAUCCAGCCAUGCCGCGUGAGUGAUGAAGGCCUUAGGGUUGUAAAGCUCUUUUGUCCGGGAAGAUAAUGACUGUACCGGAAGAAUAAGCCCCGGCUAACUUCGUG